UGGCCGAGUGGUGGAAUUGGCAGACACAAGGGACUUAAAAUCCCUUGAGGGUUUCCCUCGUGCGGGUUCGAGUCCCGCCUCGGCUAA
rnacentral:tRNA from 1 species